GACGAACGCUGGCGGCGUGCUUAACACAUGCAAGUCGAGCGACAGCAUUCCUUUCGGGGGGUGUAUGGAGCGGCGAACGGGUGAGUAACACGUGAGCAACCUGCCCUUGGCUUUGGGAUGACCCUCGGAAACGGGGGCUAAUACCGGAUAUUCACUGCUUGGUGCAUGCUGGGUGGUGGAAAGAUUUUUCGGCUGGGGAUGGGCUCGCGGCCUAUCAGCUUGUUGGUGGGGUGAUGGCCUACCAAGGCGACGACGGGUAGCCGGCCUGAGAGGGCGACCGGCCACACUGGGACUGAGACACGGCCCAGACUCCUACGGGAGGCAGCAGUGGGGAAUAUUGCACAAUGGGCGAAAGCCUGAUGCAGCGACGCCGCGUGAGGGAUGACGGCCUUCGGGUUGUAAACCUCUUUCGGCCCUGACGAAGCGCAAGUGACGGCAGGGGCAGAAGAAGCGCCGGCCAACUACGUGCCAGCAGCCGCGGUAAGACGUAGGGCGCGAGCGUUGUCCGGAUUUAUUGGGCGUAAAGAGCUCGUAGGCGGCUUGUCGCGUCGACUGUGAAAACCCGCGGCUCAACCGUGUGGCGGGCAGUUGAUACGGGCAGGCUAGAGUUCGGUAGGGGAGACUGGAAUUCCUGGUGUAGCGGUGAAAUGCGCAGAUAUCAGGAGGAACACCGGUGGCGAAGGCGGGUCUCUGGGCCGAUACUGACGCUGAGGAGCGAAAGCGUGGGGAGCGAACA
rnacentral:rRNA from 1 species